rnacentral:rRNA from 1 species
GGUUAAGCGACUAAGCGUACACGGUGGAUGCCCUGGCAGUCAGAGGCGAUGAAGGACGUGCUAAUCUGCGAUAAGCGUCGGUAAGGUGAUAUGAACCGUUAUAACCGACGAUUUCCGAAUGGGGAAACCCAGUGUGUUUCGACACACUAUCAUUAACUGAAUCCAUAGGUUAAUGAGGCGAACCGGGGGAACUGAAACAUCUAAGUACCCCGAGGAAAAGAAAUCAACCGAGAUUCCCCCAGUAGCGGCGAGCGAACGGGGAG